AUACGGAGGGUGCAAGCGUUACUCGGAAUCACUGGGCGUAAAGCGCGCGCAGGCGGGCUGAUAAGUUGGAUGUGAAAGCCUACGGCUCAACCGUAGAACUGCAUCCAAAACUGUCAGUCUAGAGUCUGGGAGGGGAAGAUGGAAUUAGUUGUGUAGGGGUAAAAUCCGUAGAGAUAACUAGGAAUACCAAAAGCGAAGGCGAUCUUCUGGAACACUACUGACGCUGAGGCGCGAAAGCGUGGGGAGCAAACAGGAUUAGAAACCCUAGUAGUCC
rnacentral:rRNA from 1 species